ensembl:lncRNA
GCCUAUUUUGUUUAUUCUUCAAUAGAUAGUACACAAGGAAGACAGUAUGUCUUUUGUUACUUAUAGGGGAUACAGUUGGAUAUAAGGAAACAUUUUAAUUUUAUAAAUAUGACAUUUAUCAAAUACGAAGUAUAAACGAAACCGAGCUUCAUAUUUUAACUGUCUAAAUGUCUGUCAAGGGUUUAAUGCUUUUUACAUAAAGUGUCAUCUCGUUCUAAAAAAUAUAAAACAUUGUUUUGUCAGAAUAUUUGCACGUCUGUGAGUAAUAUUUAGCCAUAAAUACUAAUUUGUUUACCUGUUAUUCAUUCUGUCGCUAGAUGAUGACGAAAACGGAAGUUACGCUAGUAAACACUAGAGCCACUCAAAACUCUUUUUUUGUGUGUGUAAUGGAUGUAAGCAGUUUCAGUUCGCGGCUGCUGCACAGCUAUUCAAAGAACACCUAGCUGAUGUGUUGCGUGAAAUCGAGCUGAUCAUAUAGGAAACACGGAUAUUGUUUCCUUCUGUUCUUCAAGAAAUUUUCAUUCAGUUUCAGACCAUGGGUCGGCUGGAUGAUGCAGCAAAAUACAAAGUCGUGGAGCUUCGGAAGGCCGGACUCAGUUUCCGUAAGAUCAAAGCUGUGCUGGAGCUGGAGAACAUCAAAGUCUCGGCACAGGCCAUCUACCUCUACCUGAGGGAGUUCCAGGGUAGACCGCCAGGGAGGGUCAGACCUGCAGAAGUUGGAGGCAGCUCUGUCGUAGCUCAGGUCGCACCUAGAUCGGGAGCAUUGCGUGAAAGCUGGAGCAAUAACCAUCUCCAAAAUCUAAUACGGGAGUCACCUCAUCAUUCAGGAUUUGCGACUGCUUCGGGUUUCCCCAAGCAGUCGUCCACAAAUUCCGAAACAAGUGGAAAUGCGUCGAGUUCUGGGGAGACCAGCGGAGGCAGCCGACUAGAGCAGCAGCACGGGGCAAAUAAAGAAGAGAACGACAUUCAGAUUGUAAGUGUCACUUCUCUUGCACAGCAAGAACAAAAAAGAGUUCCCCAUACUGGAAAUGCAGUAGAAGCUUGUGCUUCCUCCACUUCAACAGCUUCAAAUGUAUUGAGGAGAAGAGUCACACCCUCACCCGCAACAAGUUCAAUACUGGCAGCUCGAAGGAGACUUUUGGAUAAAGCACUGUCACACAAAACAAAGGUACAAAAAAGUCUAUUAAUGCCCACUUUUAUCAUAAAUGGGUUGUUUGAAAUCAUUUGUUUGCAAUUUAUUCUUCAACAGGUGUUAUCGUUGUUGAGAAAAGAUCCCUUAAGUUUACAAAGUUCUGAUCCGAAGGGUGCUCUCUCGCAGUUGCCCGAAACCUACGAUUUGACCUCAGAAAAGACUGUUAUUGACGGUCAGCUCAGAGGAGAAGGAUCCUCCCGAAGCUUCCCUACACAAAGACCAGGACUGAGUCUCCGUUCCUUCCAGCUCCCUCCCCGUGUUGGGAUUCGUCUUCCCAACCGCCCACAACCCCCUCUGACGUCCUCAGCUUCAAGGCCCUCUCUCGCUCAUUUACAAACUCCUGGAAGCCAGGCGCCAACUUGCAGAGAAGGAAAUCCAAGCCCACACCAGGCGGUCCAAGACUCCGGAAGCAGGAGCGGUUUGCAGGACCAGAUUCAGGUUUUAGGCACUGAGGUGCGCAGUUUGGGUCUGGCGGUUAAAAUGCUGGUAGAGCAGCAGUGCCGGCUGGAAAGAGAGCAACUGCAGCAGACGCAGAUUCAAAAGCAGAUACUCGGCACUCUUCAGAGCUUCGCCUCCAAAAUUGGACAUUGCAGCAGCGGUCGACAGCAGCUCAGCAAAACCCCAUCACCCUCCUCUUUGCCAGCAGCCUCUGGUCCUUCCUCCUUCAGUCAAGACUCCUUCAGUUUCAGUCAAGGAACCUACAAUCAGUGCAGCCAAACGCAGCCGAAUUAUAAAUCCUUAGAAAGCCUGCAAAAUGUGGAGGCUAUGAGGCUGCCAGCGCUCAGCCCGACUAACAUGAAUGGGUUUCCGUCGUGUAGCAAUGCAGAGAACCAACCACUUUCUCACAGUACCCCUCAAAGCCAACCCUACCCCACUGCUUACACCCCCCAGAGCAGUCAAACACUCGUCUCACCUUACUCAGAGUCAUUCAUUUCCUCCUAUAGCAAGUCACAUACUCAGAGUUUUAAAACACCAGAGAGUAAAACAUCUGAGUUUACAAGCAGUUGUUCAAGGAUUUUUCAAGACUGUGUCUUGUCCCCUCAGCAAGGGAUGAACUCCAGUCUGUCUGCGCAGGAUCAGCAGAUCAACAGUAUCAAAGUGGAAGGACCUUAGAGAGAUGGGUUUUUUUUUAUUUGUUGGAGAGCCAGGAGGUUCUGGAUGAGCACUGUGACUGCAACACUGCUUUCCCUGAAAUGUUUGUACGUAGUAUAAUAAUAUAAUAAUUAAUGUAGCAUUUUUAAAAAUCGUUUUCAUUUAUAAUUUUACAAAACAACAAUGCUUCCUCAUUAUUGAAGUUUUGUCUUUACAAUAGGAAAAGAUCAGUGAUUGAAAGAAAACUUUUGUAAAAAAAAGAACUGUAAAUUGUUGUAUCUGUUUGCCUUGAAGUACUAAGACUUGCAACAGGAACUAUACAUUUUCAAUCUUGUAUUAUGGGUGAUUAAAAUAAAAAAAUGAUCA